rnacentral:rRNA from 1 species
AGAGCGAACGCUGGCGGCAGGCCUAACACAUGCAAGUCGAACGGACCCUUCGGGGUUAGUGGCGGACGGGUGAGUAACACGUGGGAACGUGCCUUUAGGUUCGGAAUAGCUCCUGGAAACGGGUGGUAAUGCCGAAUGUGCCCUUCGGGGGAAAGAUUUAUCGCCUUUAGAGCGGCCCGCGUCUGAUUAGCUUGUUGGUGAGGUAAUGGCUCACCAAGGCUACGAUCAGUAGCUGGUCUGAGAGGAUGACCAGCCACAUUGGGACUGAGACACGGCCCAAACUCCUACGGGAGGCAGCAGUGGGGAAUCUUGCGCAAUGGGCGAAAGCCUGACGCAGCCAUGCCGCGUGUAUGAUGAAGGUCUUAGGAUUGUAAAGUACUUUCACCGGUGAAGAUAAUGACUGUAGCCGGAGAAGAAGCCCCGGACUAACUUCGUGCCAGCAGCCGC